GUUCGGACUACAGCUGAUCGUGAGGACCACCGCAUCAGAUCAGCUGAGCGGGAAGGGCCCGACCUCGUCGUCGUAGGCGGGAUAAGGUGAGGUGAGAUGCGGUUUCGGGGCAAAAUUUCGUAUUUUAAUCAUGUUAUGUAAGUUGAUUCAAUCCUUUUUUUUUAAAUGAGAUCUAAUCUUUUUUCUAUUGUCAGGGUUUUUGAUGGUGAGGUAUAACAGCCUAUCGUGAAGGUUUUUCAACAAUAGGAAACUUCACAUCAACAGACCGGAUCCUUAUUGCCAGACAAGUUGGUAGUGUUACAAUAAAUGUGUUUGACCAACCUACGAAGUC
rnacentral:lncRNA from 1 species